rnacentral:rRNA from 1 species
UACGAAGGGUGCAAACGUUGCUCGGAAUUAUUGGGCGUAAAGCGCACGUAGGCGGCUUAGCAAGUCGGAAGUGAAAUCCCUCGGCUCAACCAAGGAAGUGCUUUCGAAACUGCUGAGCUUGAGUACGAAAGAGGAUCGCGGAAUUCCCGGUGUAGAGGUGAAAUGCGUAGAUAUCUGGAGGAACACCGGUGGCGAAGGCGGCGUUCUGGACUGCAUCUGACACUGAAAGACGAAAGCCAGGGGAGCAAACGGG